UCUCCUCUUCUCAUCUUCUCUCCUCUAUUCUCCACUUCUCAUCUUCUCUCCUCUAUUCUACACUUCUCAUCUUCUCUCCUCUAUUCUCCACUUCUCAUCUUCUCUCCUCUAUUCUCCACUUCUCAUCUUCUCUCCUCUAUUCUCCACUUCUCAUCUCUUCUCCUCUUUUUCUCACUUCUCUCCUCUUCUCCUCACUUCUCCUCUCCCAGUGCUCCUCUCUCUCAUGCCCUCUCUCUGUACUGACGUACCUAUCGUUCACUACAUCUUGCAACACAUUGCAUUACUUUGAAUUAAAUCACUUUCUUUCAUGUGAGCUCCGUAGAGGCUCCUCUGAUCUUCAAGGCCCUGUACUGCCAUACCAUAAUGUACACUACACGGCGUUGCAUGGCAACACGUUGCAUUAGGUUGUGUUUAGAGCCCUGUCACUGAACUGCUUCACAAUUCCAUCCUGGGCAUGAUACUACAAUGUAUUUCUUUCUGCUGUAAGUUGCCUCCUCACACAUCAGCACAGUGGAGGCUGAUGAAUCUACACAGAGUCUGUGAGGACUGGAAAUGUAUUUGACGAUCUCCUGAAGUCUGGUUAACCUUCUCUCCGUGUAGUUCCCCAUUGUCCCACUGUAUACGUUGUGCACUGAAUGGCACUGAACACUGUGUGUGUGUGUGUGUGUGUGUGUGUGUGUGUGUGUGUGUGUGUGUGUGUGUGUGUGUGUGUGUGUGUGUGUGUGUGUGUGUGUGUGUGUGUGUGUGUGUGUGUGUGUGUGUGUGUGUGUGUGUGUGUGUGUGUGUACUUGUGUUUGCAUUUUGUGGGCAUGCUUAUUUAUAGAUAUGUUCAUGUUUGAUUUUCUGGUGCUGAAGGCUCCCUCAUCUGUAUGUAUAUUCCAGUGACAACGUGCAGCUCACACACACACACACACACACACACACACACACACACACACACACACACACACACAUAACACACGUUUCAAUGAUGUUUGAACCCCAGGUUUUAUUCAUUCUACAAACCCCUGGUGACUUUAACCUUUCUUCAGUUUCCUCUCCCUGGUUUCCCCACGCAAAGUUUGGACACACCUACUCAUUCCAGAGGGGAGGAACAUUCUACAUUGUAGAAUAUUAGUGAAGACAUCAAAACUAUGAAAUAACUCAUAUUGAAUCAUGUAGUGACCAAAAAAAGUGUUAAACAAAUCUAAAUCUAAAUACAGUCGCAAGAAAAAGAAUGUGAACCUUUAGAAUGACCUGGAAUCUGCAUGAACUGGUCAUAACAAUGAGAUCUGAUCUUCAUCUCGGUCACAACAAUAGCUGCGCUGUGAAUGAGAGCGUACCCCUCUCUAUCUCAGGUCAUUACAGUUUAAGGUGAUGAGAGCGUACCCCUCUCUAUCUCAGGUCAUUACAGUUUAAGGUGGUGAGAGCGUACCCCUCUCUAUCUCAGGUCAUUACAGUUUAAGGUGAUGAGAGCGUACCCCUCUCUAUCUCAGGUCAUUACAGUUUAAGGUGGUGAGAGCGUACCCCUCUCUCUCUCAGGUCAUUACAGUUUAAGGUGAUGAGAGCGUACCCCUCUCUAUCUCAGGUCAUUACAGUUUAAGGUGAUGAGAGCGUACCCCUCUCUAUCUCAGGUCAUUACAGUUUAAGGUGGUGAGAGCGUACCCCUCUCUCUCUCAGGUCAUUACAGUUUAAGGUGGUGAGAGCGUACCCCUCUCUCUCUCAGGUCAUUACAGUUUAAGGUGAUGAGAGCGUACCUCUCUAUCUCUCAGGUCAUUACAGUUUAAGGUGAUGAGAGCGUACCUCUCUCUCUCAGGUCCAGUCUGUCUAUAGAUCAGUCCUGCUCUACCUGACUGCCACUGCCCACUCUUUUAGCUACAGUACCACAGAGGAAAGAUUCAUGAUACAAUACAAAUAUGCUUGUCUAACACUCUCUUUCUCCCAUCCUCUCUCUCCCAUCCUCUCUCUUUCUCCCAUCCUCUCUCUUUCCCAUCCUCUCCCUCUCACCCUUCCUCUCUCUCCCAUCCUCUCUCUCCCAUCCUCUCUCUCCCAUCCUCUCUCUUUCUCCCAUCCUCUCUCUUUCCCAUCCUCUCCCUCUCACCCUUCCUCUCUCUCUCCCAUCCUCUCUCUUUCUCCCAUCCUCUCUCUCCCAUCCUCUCUCUUUCUCCCAUCCUCUCUCUUUCCCAUCCUCUCCCUCUCACCCUUCCUCUCUCUCCCAUCCUCUCUCUCCCAUCCUCUCUCUCCCAUCCUCUCUCUUUCUCCCAUCCUCUCUCUUUCCCCCAUCCUCUCCCUCUCACCCUUCCUCUCUCUCCCAUCCUCUCUCUUUCUCCCAUCCUCUCUCUCCCAUCCUCUCUCUUUCUCCCAUCCUCUCUCUCUCACCCUCCCUCUCUCUCCCAUCCCUCUCUCCCAUCCUCUCUCUUUCUCCCAUCCUCUCUCUCCCAUCCUCUCUCUUUCUCCCAUCCUCUCUCUCCCAUCCUCUCUCUCUCUCACCCUUCCUCUCUCUCCCAUCCUCUCUCUCUCACCCAUCCUCACUCUCCCAUCCUCUCUCUCCCAUCCUCUCUCUCCCAUCCUCUC